GAGUUUGAUCAUGGUUCAGGAUGAACGCUAGCGACAGGCCUAACACAUGCAAGUCGAGGGGCAUCGGGACGUAGCAAUACGUUGCCGGCGACCGGCGGAUGGGUGAGUAACGCGUAUGCAACCUACCCGUAGCAGGGGGAUAGCCCGUUGAAAGACGGAUUAAUACCCCGUAACACAGGGGCUCCGCAUGGAGAUUAUUGUUAAAGGGUCAUUUCUUUUAGAGGUGGUCCGGCUGCGGAUGGGCAUGCGUUCCAUUAGGUAGUUGGUGUAGGUAACGGCUCACCAAGCCGACGAUGGAUAGGGGAACUGAGAGGUUGGUCCCCCACACUGGUACUGAGACACGGACCAGACUCCUACGGGAGGCAGCAGUGAGGAAUCUUGGUCAAUGGACGCAAGUCUGAACCAGCCAUGUCGCGUGAAGGAGGACGGCCCUAAGGGUUGUAAACUUCUUUUGCAGCGGAAUAAAGUUUGCCACGAGUUGGCGAUUUGCAAGUACGCUGCGAAUAAGGAUCGGCUAACUCCGUGCCAGCAGCCGCGGUAAUACGGAGGAUCCGGGCGUUAUCCGGAUUUAUUGGGUUUAAAGGGUGCGCAG
rnacentral:rRNA from 1 species